AUGUGUCGUAUCAUAGUUCAUUUUAUGUGGGAGGAUGUUCAGCAGCGUGGCAGAGUCAUGGGGGUUAAUCCCUAUAUCCUGAAGAAGAACAUGAUCCUCAUGACAAAUCAUUUCUAUGCAGCGAUCUUGGGAUAUGAUGAGGGGAUCCUUUCAGAUGAUCAUGGGCUGGCCGCUGCCCUCUGGAGAACCUUCUUCAACCGGAAAUGUGAAGACCCUCGACAUCUUGAAUUGCUGGUAGAGUAUGUGAGGAAACAGGUGAGCGACCCUUUUCCUCCCCUCCCGAGUCCUGGCAACAGUGGGUCCUCCUCUUGGGUUUUCAGGGGAUCAUGAGAGGUGGAGUUACCAAGGACCAGCCUGAGAGAAUUCUGACCAGAUCACAUCAGCACUAGACACUGAAGAAGGAGCACCUUCUGUGUGUCCAAUCAUGAACUGGGCCAGGGAGCGGGAAAUGGGAAGAGAGAGAGAAAGAGG
rnacentral:sRNA from 1 species